rnacentral:ncRNA from 1 species
CGGUAUCAGGCUCACCUCAAGCCCAAAACACCUUGCUACGCCACACCCCCAAGGGAACUCAGCAGUGAUUAACAUUGAAGAUAAGCGACAAGCUUGACUCAGUUACAGUCAACAGAGUCGGUAAAUCUCGUGCCAGCCACCGCGGUUAUACGAAAGACUCAAGUUGAUAGCUAACGGCGUAAAGCGUGAUUAAAGGUAAGAACAAUAGAGUUGAACUGCAACUCAGCUGUCGUACGCUAUCGGUGCCUAGAAACCCCAUCACGAAAGUAACUCUACCAAAAACAACUUGAACUCACGACUGCCAGGGCACAAACUGGGAUUAGAUACCCCACUAUGCCUGGCCUUAAACCUUGACCACUUACACCAAAAUCCGCCAGGGAACUACGAGCCUCAGCUUAAAACCCAAAGGACUUGGCGGUGCCCCAUACCCACCUAGAGGAGCCUGUUCUAUAAUCGAUAACCCCCGCUUAACCUAACCACUUCUAGCCAGUCAACCUAUAUACCACCGUCGCCAGCCCACCCUGUGAGGGCAAACAAGUAGGCAAAAUUACUAACCAUAAAAACGUCAGGUCAAGGUGUAGUUUAUGAAGUGGGAAGAAAUGGGCUACAUUUUCUGUAAACAGAAUAAACGAAAGACCACUAUGAAACCUGGUCAGAAGGAGGAUUUAGCAGUAAAAAGAAACAAUAGUGUUCUUUUUAAGGCGGCCCCGGGACGCGCACACACCGCCCGUCACCCUCUUCAAAAAUACACCACAACUAAAUAAAAACUAACCAAUUUUAAGAAGAGGCAAGUCGUAACAUGGUAAGCGCACCGGAAGGUGAGCUUGGAA